AAUAUGAUCCCCUCGCUCGCUAACUGCCCUGCGAGGCCGCGACCCACGCCGCCUACCUCUGGUCACCGGACGAGGGUCGAACUCCUACUCCACAUGCGCCGCCGCCUGACCCUCCUCCGCCACCAUAACCGUCGCAGAACCGACCAGUGCGCGGCGCCUCUCCCACCGUGACUCGCGACGCCAGCAGCACCUCCCACCCCCUCCUAUCAUCUCCCUAUCCCUACCCAGCGGACGACCAUGCACGCCCUUGAUCCGGAUGGCACCGCCGAGCCCAUGGUUCUCCUCCCCAGGUCACCGGAUGCAGCCAAGAUCCGUCCCGUCCUCCCACAUCGGCAACCAUGGUAGUCCUCUGCACCCAAGCUUUGCCCAUAAGCUCCAUGUGCAUUAGCAGAUUUCAGACGGCGAUUUGGAUCGAGCAAGCCACGGGACUUGCCGGCAACACCCAGUCUUUGAUCUGGUUUGUUCUUCGUCUCAGACGUUCUGGUGUACCAAAUCCAUCUGCACUGCAUACAUUGGGAUUGAAACGAUGCCAUGAUAGUGGGCAUUCACGCUUCAGAUUUCUUAACUCAGCAUCAUUGGAUCGAAGAUGGUUAGGAGGUUGAAGAUAUGUCGCGUGAAAGGCGUGGGGAGGCAAGGACGGGACACGCAGGACGCUGCAGUGGAGGACGAACACCACAGCAAGGUAUGUGCAGAGAACAACCACCAUCGUGAAGUCACGACUCCUCUCUUGCAUGUCCACUUCUCCUUGGCUGCCUGGUCAUCAUCAUAUCACAAAUCAAAGUUUUCUUAUUGCGAACUAGAGAAGAUAAAUUUGAUGGUUGUAACUUGCCUGAAGUGCAAGGUCUAAUUCUAUUAUGUGUUGAGUUUAUUAGCAAGAUUGGUCCGUUUUGAUACAAUUUCAUUCUGGUUGCCAUCUACAAGUUACUGUUGCAUCACAGUAAUUUAUUCGGAAGCAAUUAUAAUUGAGAUUGAGAUUUUCUGGGUAGGUUGUCACAAGUAUUUAACUUAUGAUUUCAGUUUGAGAUACAACCGGCAAUCUGAAAUCAGUACUGCUGCUCAGACAAUCUAGAGGGGUUAUAAAAUUUCUUCGCAAAGCUUGUACACAAGCUUAAGAAUAUGCCUGCUACUUCUUUUUUUAGGGAAAUAAAAUGCCUGCUACUUUGGGAUAUUGUGGUGUUAUUAAAUGACCGCUUCAUAAAUCAUAAUAUGAGAUGGAGUUUGAUCAACCAAAAAUGAAGAAUAUUGGAACAAAAAGACGAAGAAUAUUGGUCAACCAAAGGCAAAUUCACUUCAGCCCAAAUUCAUUUGAUGUUGCAACUUUUUCUUAGUUCUUUAAGAUUGAUUUUAGAUGGAGAGCCGGCCCAGUUUGGAUGCCAAUGUUGGUUUUUAGAUCAGUUAAUGGUUCAUUGCAACAUAUGUUCUCCAUAUAAUUUGAUAUGCAAGGUUUUGAUGCAUAGUAAUAGUGAAUUUGGGCUGAAGGGAAGCAAGAGCAGCUAGCAGUAGCAGUUAUAACUGAAGUAAUAAUGGGCACUUCUCUCUUUUCUGAACAAAACUUGAUUUUCUCAUAGUAAAUAGUCCUUUACUGAAUUUAGUUGAUACAUAAAUGGUUAUUUACUGAACAAUACUUGUAUGUGGGUAGGUACGGUGGUGAUGAAGUUUUAAAAUGGUCCAUUGCCCAACAAGGGCAUCCUAAUUUCUUACUGGAAUAUACUGUAACAAUAUGAUAUCGAAAUUUCAAAUGGUUGUAUAUUUGACCCAUACUAUGAUAGACCAAGGCCUGCGUGGACAUGUUGUUCACAUACUAUAAUUCAUUUACAGGAGAUUGUAAAAAUUUAGGCACCAUGUGUUGAGAAAUUGUGCAUUGAGAUAAAAGAUUAUAUAAUUGAUGCAAAGGCAUGUGAUAUAUAUUUGUUUCAGGAAGUAUGUUGAUUCAUGGAGAAUGAUAUU